GGCCUCGUCGUCUAGUGGUCCAGGACUCCUGGUUCUCAUCCAGGCAAUCGCGGGUUCGAAUCCCGCCGAGGUCACCA
rnacentral:tRNA from 1 species